rnacentral:rRNA from 1 species
UGCUCCCCACGCUUUCGCACCUCAGUGUCAGUAUUAGUCCAGGUGGCCGCCUUCGCCACUGAUGUUCCUUCCUAUAUCUACGCAUUUCACCGCUACACAGGAAAUUCCGCCACCCUCUACUAUACUCUAGCCAGACAGUUCUAACUGCAGUUCCCAGGUUGAGCCCAGGGCUUUCACAGCUAGCUUAUCAAACCACCUACGCGCGCUUUACGCCCAGUAAUUCCGAUUAACGCUCGCACCCUCCGUAUUACCGCGGCUGCUGGCACGGAGUUUGCCGGUGCUUCUUCUGCAGGUAACGUCAAGGCUCAAAAGUAUUAAUUUUGAACUUUUCCUCCCCACUGAAAGUGCUUUACAACCCUAGAGCCUUCUUCACACACGCGGCAUGGCUGCAUCAGGCUUUCGCCCAUUGUGCAAUAUUCCCCACUGCUGCCUCCCGUAGGAGUCUGGGCCGUGUCUCAGUCCCAGUGUGGCUGAUCAUCCUCUCAGACCAGCUAGAGAUCGUCGCCUUGGUGAGCCAUUACCUCACCAACUAGCUAAUCUCACGCAGGCUCAUCAAAUAGCGAAAGGUCUGUAAACAGAUCCCCUCCUUUCCCCCUCAGGGAUUAUGCGGUAUUAGCAGUCGUUUCCAACUGUUGUCCCCCACUACUCGGUAGAUUCCUACGCGUUACUCACCCGUCCGCCACUCGUCAGCAACUAGCAAGCUAGUUCUGUUACCGUUCGACUUGCAUGUGUUAAGCCUGCCGCCAGCGUUCAAUCUGAGCCAGGAUCAAACUCU